UACUGAACCCGUGUUCAGCAGUUGUCUACGAUCAUGAAAAUGCACUUUUGUACGUCACUUUGGAUAAAAGCGUCUGCCAAAUGAAUGUAAUGUAAUGUAAUGUAAUAUGUUGUCUUCUUCCAAAAUAGUAAUACUGAAUACUUAUGUAAGAAUAAUGUUUGCAUAUGCUUUUUUUGUGUCAUUUCCCUUUAUUUCAUAAAUGCUAAUUUGGGUUUUGGGGACUGAGAAGACCAUGAUAUAUGGAUGACAUCAGUCAGCCUCCGUGGGCAGGUGCCUUGUCUUCUUGAAAGACACUCCUCUCUGCAGGAAGCGCUUUAACGUGGGGUGAAGUUGAUCCCACAGUACCAUUAGGUGAUUUGUCUUUUUCUUCUGUGGGUAUCGGUGCACCCAAACCAUAUCAGGAAUUGCAGAACUGCCAGAGCCAUUAUGUGUUGGAACAGUUUCCAUUUUCAUAUUCACAUCCUGUAUAUGCAAAAUACACACCAUAUACUUUAAAUGGGAACUUCAACCUAAAAUCUAUUUUUGAUGAUAACCUGAAUUGUUAAUCCCUUAUGGUUUAAAAGAACUGCUAAUUACAACAUACUACUUUUCUAGAUAUGUAUCUCCUUCUAGAAAAACCUGCUCAAGUGAUGCAUCUUGUAUGACAGGGGAAGCCACACCCAUUCUCAAUGUAAUAAUGAUGCAAAGUUGGGUCAAGAGGUGUACUCUACAUGCAGGAUGAGGCAAGUGAGACAUCUAAACAACCACAACUUAUAAAAAUGUAUGAUUUUUUUUUUUUUAAAAACCUUCCCACACUGGAAGGAUCAAUACAAUACACUGCUGUAACUUUAAAUUAGGGUAUAGCCCUCCUUUAUCAUAAACAUAUCUGUUGUAUAUGGAAUUGUGCCAAGAUCCAUCACCAUCAACGAUGUGAAGAAGUACAAACUGAACCCUGUGUGUCAGUGCCCCCCACCUCCCCCCAUACAUCCACUCCCACAUACAGCAGGCAGACUGCCACCCUCAUUUUACAUGAAAAUAAAAGGGAAGAAACACUUUGCUUCUCUGCUAUCUUCAGAUUGCAACUAUCCAUAUUGAUCUGUUGUUCUUAUAUUUCCUUUUUUCCCCCUGCUUUGUGUUUUGUGGCCUAAGUGUUUUUUUUGUUUUGUUUUGUUUUUUUUCCAGAGCAGCUGGGAGACCAGGCGAGUGCAGAACUGUGUGUGCGUGUGUGUGUGUGUGUCGGUCUGUCUGUCUGUGUGUACAUAUGUCUGAGCGCCUCUGGAUGAAAACAGAAUCCAAGGCUGAAGAGCAUACUGACCGUCAGCCAUCUGUCUGAGAGCUCAGAUUUAUACCUUCCCCUAUCUUCAUAUUUCAGCCACAGCCCCUGUUCCCCCCUGAAGAAAACAUCGCCUUAAAUGCGGGGGGCCACGCGGACAGGAGCGAAGUGCAAUGAUAUCUGAAGGUCCUCCUCUUGCCAGCUCACUGUCUCCCAUCUGGUUGAAUUUAUCUACAAUCUGAAACGUGCAAGAUAUCAAAUGACUCAUUUCACAGUUGGUGCAGAUCGUAUUCAUUUGUCAGGGGGAGACACCUGAGAGCAUAUGGCGACAAACCAGAAGUGACGGAACUCCACAGUAAAGUCUGAAUGUGACUAUAUUAAAAACCCACAAUGUAAGAUGGCAAUCUCUUAUGAGCAGCAUUACAAGAUUGGAUUACAUGGAGACAUUCUUAAAUCAUGUUGAAGGAGUGGGAGGAGCCAGGGGAGAGAGCCCAGGCGGCAGCAGGAGGAAGACCAUUUUAAUACCAGUUUAGGGGAAGACAACACCUGCACAGAGUUUCAGAGUUCUGUUCAGAAUGCUAAUCGCCUCAAAGAUGACAUAAAUUAAAGCUUGUUUCACUAGGGAGUCUGUAAACAGAUACUAUUAAAAUUGUUUUAAUCUGAAUAAUAUUUAAAUUAUAAUCUGGUUGGUCAAGAUGACAUCAGUCGAUACUGCAGUGGUUGGUCAUGUGUCAAGCUGCUAGGCAAUUACGCAUACUACUUUAUUUCAUGUUGUAUAUGUAAGACAUCUCAUUAGGUGGAAAAAUAAAUGUGUGUCCUCUUCGGCAGCCAGCUGAAGCAUUAUCUCUUUUACCUUUCUCCUCCUGUCAGGCACAAAGCUGGAGUGCAGAGUUAAACAUAAUAAAUCCUGUAUUCAAGUUGAAGCAUCCAGUAUUGCAUGUACCUCAAAAAAUUGCUUGUAUGAGCAAUGGUGGAGGGUUAAUGCGUGCCGUUCACACAGACAUGCAUACCACGAGGUGCUUAAUACAAAUACCUGUGAGUGGUGCAGUGAUUAAUCAGAAUGAAUAUGAGGAGGAGGUGGGGGUUGGGUAGAUGCAAGUUGGCAUUUCAGUCAUAGGGAAAGUCAUGUCCCUACAAUGUUAUUUAUGUAAAAAUGAGGGUACAAAAUGAAAAGGACACAAGAAUUAUUACCUCUCUUUCACUUAGCAGUUUGCCCCCAUAAGACAUGAUGAAAUAAAGUGCUGUCUGUGCA